CUGAUCUACGUCAACAUAGACAAAGUCAAGAAGCUCGAACCCCAGCACCGAUAGGAACCGCACGGACUGUACGGGAAGAAUAUGUAUAAGCCGAAGCAGGAAGCAGUGCAAGAACCGUAUUCAAUUCCCCUGCUACUAACUUCGUAUGACGCUUCACGAAUUUAAGCAUAUGAACGUGAGCAAUCUGAUCGGGGUUUUCUUGUCCCACACGGAUAGGAAAGCUAUUUGACUACGCCGAACUCGAUUCUUGGCACAUUAUAGUUUCAUCCAGGUCACCAAGAAAGCCUAUCUUCACAGGCAACCGCUACAAUUCGUACCAAGGCGGUUCGAAACCCGGCUGUUGUGCCUGAAAUGAGAAACACUACACGAUCUUUAAGACGGUGUUGCAAAAAGAACCAAACAAACACAUAAAGAUGUAAGGUAGCACCACCUCCAACUUUUGAAAACACACGAAGGAACUGCGAUUGCAUUCGGAAAUCGGAAGCUUCUUUUUUAAAUCGGAUAUUUUACAACAUCAUCCGACAUAAUGACAUAUUUUACGGAUGAA